UUGGAGGGCAAGUCUGGUGCCAGCAGCCGCGGUAAUUCCAGCUCCAAUAGCGUAUAUUAAAGUUGUUGCAGUUAAAAAGCUCGUAGUUGAAUUUCGGGAUUGACGUGAUGGUCAUGCCUUAAGGGGUAUGAACUGUCACAGUUGAUUUCUCACCUUCUGGAGAAACUUGAUGUCCUUUAUUGGGUGUCUUGCGGAUCCAGGACCUUUACCUUGAAAAAAUUAGAGUGUUUAAAGCAGGCAUUUUUGCUCGAAUACAUUAGCAUGGAAUAAUAGAAUAGGACGGCAUGGUUCUAUUUUGUUGGUUUCUAGGAUCACCGUAAUGAUUAAUAGGGAUAGUUGGGGGCAUUAGUAUUCAAUUGUCAGAGGUGAAAUUCUUGGAUUUAUUGAAGACUAACUACUGCGAAAGCAUUUGCCAAGGAUGUUUUCAUUAAUCAAGAACGAAAGUUAGGGGAUCGAAGACGAUCAGAUACCGUCGUAGUCUUAACCAUAAACUAUGCCGACUAGGAAUCAGACGAUGUUAAUUUUUUAAUGACUCGUUUGGCACCUUACGGGAAACCAAAGUGUUUGGGUUC
rnacentral:rRNA from 1 species